UCUCGAUGACAGGGCAAAGGCAACUGGA
rnacentral:piRNA from 1 species